rnacentral:rRNA from 1 species
GACGAACGCUGACGGCGUGCUUAACACAUGCAAGUCGAAGGGAGUGGCGAACGGGUGAGUAACACGUGAGUAACCUGCCCUUUUCUUUGGGAUAAGCCUGGGAAACUGGGUCUAAUACUGGAUGGAUUGGGAUGGGCUCGCGGCUUAUCAGCUUGUUGGUGGGGUUUUGGCUUACCAAGGCUGUGCCGGGUAGCCGGCCUGGGGGGGGGGUCGGUAACACUGGAACUGAGAAAGGGCCCAGACUCCUACGGAGGGCAGCAGUGGGGAAUAUUGCACAAUGGGCGCAGGCCGGAUGCAGCCAUGCCGCGUGUAUGAAGAAGGCCUUCGGGUUGUAAAGUACUUUCAGCGGGGAGGCGUUACCCGCAGAAGAAGCACCGGCUAACUCCGUGCCAGCAGCGCGGUAAUUC